UUAAGCGACUAAGCGUACACGGUGGAUGCCCUGGCAGUCAGAGGCGAUGAAGGACGUGCUAAUCUGCGAUAAGCGUCGGUGAGGUGAUAUGAACCGUUAUAACCGGCGAUUUCCGAAUGGGGAAACCCAGUGUGUUUCGACACACUAUCAUUAACUGAAUCCAUAGGUUAAUGAGGCGAACCGGGGGAACUGAAACAUCUAAGUACCCCGAGGAAAAGAAAUCAACCGAGAUUCCCCCAGUAGCGGCGAGCGAACGGGGAGCAGCCCAGAGCCUGAAUCAGUGUGUGUGUUAGUGGAAGCGUCUGGAAAGGCGCGCGAUACAGGGUGACAGCCCCGUACACAAAAAUGCACAUGCUGUGAGCUCGAUGAGUAGGGCGGGACACGUGGUAUCCUGUCUGAAUAUGGGGGGACCAUCCUCCAAGGCUAAAUACUCCUGACUGACCGAUAGUGAACCAGUACCGUGAGGGAAAGGCGAAAAGAACCCCGGCGAGGGGAGUGAAAAAGAACCUGAAACCGUGUACGUACAAGCAGUGGGAGCACGCUUAGGCGUGUGACUGCGUACCUUUUGUAUAAUGGGUCAGCGACUUAUAUUCUGUAGCAAGGUUAACCGAAUAGGGGAGCCGAAGGGAAACCGAGUCUUAACUGGGCGUUAAGUUGCAGGGUAUAGACCCGAAACCCGGUGAUCUAGCCAUGGGCAGGUUGAAGGUUGGGUAACACUAACUGGAGGACCGAACCGACUAAUGUUGAAAAAUUAGCGGAUGACUUGUGGCUGGGGGUGAAAGGCCAAUCAAACCGGGAGAUAGCUGGUUCUCCCCGAAAGCUAUUUAGGUAGCGCCUCGUGAAUUCAUCUCCGGGGGUAGAGCACUGUUUCGGCAAGGGGGUCAUCCCGACUUACCAACCCGAUGCAAACUGCGAAUACCGGAGAAUGUUAUCACGGGAGACACACGGCGGGUGCUAACGUCCGUCGUGAAGAGGGAAACAACCCAGACCGCCAGCUAAGGUCCCAAAGUCAUGGUUAAGUGGGAAACGAUGUGGGAAGGCCCAGACAGCCAGGAUGUUGGCUUAGAAGCAGCCAUCAUUUAAAGAAAGCGUAAUAGCUCACUGGUCGAGUCGGCCUGCGCGGAAGAUGUAACGGGGCUAAACCAUGCACCGAAGCUGCGGCAGCGACGCUUAUGCGUUGUUGGGUAGGGGAGCGUUCUGUAAGCCUGUGAAGGUGUACUGUGAGGUAUGCUGGAGGUAUCAGAAGUGCGAAUGCUGACAUAAGUAACGAUAAAGCGGGUGAAAAGCCCGCUCGCCGGAAGACCAAGGGUUCCUGUCCAACGUUAAUCGGGGCAGGGUGAGUCGACCCCUAAGGCGAGGCCGAAAGGCGUAGUCGAUGGGAAACAGGUUAAUAUUCCUGUACUUGGUGUUACUGCGAAGGGGGGACGGAGAAGGCUAUGUUGGCCGGGCGACGGUUGUCCCGGUUUAAGCGUGUAGGCUGGUUUUCCAGGCAAAUCCGGAAAAUCAAGGCUGAGGCGUGAUGACGAGGCACUACGGUGCUGAAGCAACAAAUGCCCUGCUUCCAGGAAAAGCCUCUAAGCAUCAGGUAACAUCAAAUCGUACCCCAAACCGACACAGGUGGUCAGGUAGAGAAUACCAAGGCGCUUGAGAGAACUCGGGUGAAGGAACUAGGCAAAAUGGUGCCGUAACUUCGGGAGAAGGCACGCUGAUACGUAGGUGAAGUCCCUCGCGGAUGGAGCUGAAAUCAGUCGAAGAUACCAGCUGGCUGCAACUGUUUAUUAAAAACACAGCACUGUGCAAACACGAAAGUGGACGUAUACGGUGUGACGCCUGCCCGGUGCCGGAAGGUUAAUUGAUGGGGUCAGCGCAAGCGAAGCUCUUGAUCGAAGCCCCGGUAAACGGCGGCCGUAACUAUAACGGUCCUAAGGUAGCGAAAUUCCUUGUCGGGUAAGUUCCGACCUGCACGAAUGGCGUAAUGAUGGCCAGGCUGUCUCCACCCGAGACUCAGUGAAAUUGAACUCGCUGUGAAGAUGCAGUGUACCCGCGGCAAGACGGAAAGACCCCGUGAACCUUUACUAUAGCUUGACACUGAACAUUGAGCCUUGAUGUGUAGGAUAGGUGGGAGGCUUUGAAGUGUGGACGCCAGUCUGCAUGGAGCCGACCUUGAAAUACCACCCUUUAAUGUUUGAUGUUCUAACGUUGACCCGUGAUCCGGGUUGCGGACAGUGUCUGGUGGGUAGUUUGACUGGGGCGGUCUCCUCCUAAAGAGUAACGGAGGAGCACGAAGGUUGGCUAAUCCUGGUCGGACAUCAGGAGGUUAGUGCAAUGGCAUAAGCCAGCUUGACUGCGAGCGUGACGGCGCGAGCAGGUGCGAAAGCAGGUCAUAGUGAUCCGGUGGUUCUGAAUGGAAGGGCCAUCGCUCAACGGAUAAAAGGUACUCCGGGGAUAACAGGCUGAUACCGCCCAAGAGUUCAUAUCGACGGCGGUGUUUGGCACCUCGAUGUCGGCUCAUCACAUCCUGGGGCUGAAGUAGGUCCCAAGGGUAUGGCUGUUCGCCAUUUAAAGUGGUACGCGAGCUGGGUUUAGAACGUCGUGAGACAGUUCGGUCCCUAUCUGCCGUGGGCGCUGGAGAACUGAGGGGGGCUGCUCCUAGUACGAGAGGACCGGAGUGGACGCAUCACUGGUGUUCGGGUUGUCAUGCCAAUGGCACUGCCCGGUAGCUAAAUGCGGAAGAGAUAAGUGCUGAAAGCAUCUAAGCACGAAACUUGCCCCGAGAUGAGUUCUCCCUGACUCCUUGAGAGUCCUGAAGGAACGUUGAAGACGACGACGUUGAUAGGCCGGGUGUGUAAGCGCAGCGAUGCGUUGAGCUAACCGGUACUAAUGAACCGUGAGGCUUAACCUU
rnacentral:rRNA from 2 species